UACAGAGGGUGCGAGCGUUGUUCGGAAUUAUUGGGCGUAAAGGGCGCGUAGGCGGUGCGGUAAGUCACCUGUGAAAUCUCCUGGCUCAACUGGGAGCUUGCAGGCGAAACUGCCGUGCUGGAGUGUGGGAGAGGUGCGUGGAAUUCCUGGUGUAGCGGUGAAAUGCGUAGAUAUCAGGAGGAACACCUGUGGCGAAAGCGGCGCACUGGACCACAACUGACGCUGAGGCGCGGAAAGCUAGGGGAGCAAACAGG
rnacentral:rRNA from 1 species